rnacentral:rRNA from 1 species
UACGUAGGGGGCAAGCGUUAUCCGGAUUUACUGGGUGUAAAGGGAGCGUAGGCGGCGAUGCAAGUCAGAAGUGAAAGCCCGGGGCUCAACUCCGGGACUGCUUUUGAAACUGUGUUGCUAGACUGCAGGAGAGGUAAGUGGAAUUCCUAGUGUAGCGGUGAAAUGCGUAGAUAUUAGGAGGAACACCAGUGGCGAAGGCGGCUUACUGGACUGUAAAUGACGCUGAGGCUCGAAAGCGUGGGGAGCAAACAGG